GUUGACGGGACUCGCACAAGCGGUGGAGCAUGUGGUUUAAUUCGACGAUAAGCGAAGAACUUACCAGGGUUGACAUCUAGAGAACCCAGCAGAAACGUUGGGGUGCCCGUAAGGGAGCUCUAAGACAGGUGUUGCACGGCUGUCGUCAGCUCGUGUCGUGAGAUGUGCCCUUAAGUGGGUAAACGAGCGAAACCUGUGUCCUGUGUUGAUUUUUCACGGGAGACUGCCCCGGUUUACGGGGAGGAAGGCGCAGACGACGUCAAGUCAGCGUGGCUCUUACACCCUGGGCUACACACGUGCUACAAUGGCAGAUCAUAAAGAGUUGCAAAGCCGCAAGGCCAAGCUAAUCUCAUAAAAGCUGCCUCAGUUCGGAUUGAGGGCUGAAAUUCGCCCUCAUGAAGCUGGAAUCGCUAGUAAUCGUGGGUCAGCUAUACCACGGUGAAUACGUUCCCGGGCCUU
rnacentral:rRNA from 1 species